CCUACGGGUGGCUGCAGUGGGGAAUAUUGGACAAUGGGGGCAACCCUGAUCCAGCCAUGCCGCGUGUGUGAAGAAGGCCCUCGGGUUGUAAAGCACUUUCAGUGAGGAAGAACGCCUGGUGGUUAAUACCCAUCAGGAAAGACAUCACUCACAGAAGAAGCACCGGCUAACUCCGUGCCAGCAGCCGCGGUAAUACGGAGGGUGCGAGCGUUAAUCGGAAUUACUGGGCGUAAAGCGCGCGUAGGUGGCUUGAUAAGCCGGUUGAGAAAGCCCCGGGCUCAACCUGGGAACGGCAUCCGGAACUGUCAAGCUAGAGUGCAGGAGAGGAAGGUAGAAUUCCCGGUGUAGCGGUGAAAUGCGUAGAGAUCGGGAGGAAUACCAGUGGCGAAGGCGGCCUUCUGGACUGACACUGACACUGAGGUGCGAAAGCGUGGGUAGCAAACAGGAUUAGAUACCCCGGUAGUC
rnacentral:rRNA from 1 species